rnacentral:rRNA from 1 species
GAUGAACGCUGGCGGCGUGCCUAAUACAUGCAAGUCGAGCGAAUGGAUUAAGAGCUUGCUCUUAUGAAGUUAGCGGCGGACGGGUGAGUAACACGUGGGUAACCUGCCCAUAAGACUGGGAUAACUCCGGGAAACCGGGGCUAAUACCGGAUAACAUUUUGAACCGCAUGGUUCGAAAUUGAAAGGCGGCUUCGGCUGUCACUUAUUGAUGGACCCGCGUCGCAUUAGCUAGUUGGUGAGGUAACGGCUCACCAAGGCAACGAUGCGUAGCCGACCUGAGAGGGUGAUCGGCCACACUGGGACUGAGACACGGCCCAGACUCCGACGGGAGGCAGCAGUAGGGAAUCUUCCGAAAUGGACGAAAGUCUGACGGAGCAACGCCGCGUGAGUGAUGAAGGCUUUCGGGUCGUAAAACUCUGUUGUUAGGGAAGAACAAGUGCUAGUUGAAUAAGCUGACACCUUGACGGUACCUAACCAGAAAGCCACGGCUAACUACGUGCCAGCCGCCGCAGUAA